rnacentral:rRNA from 1 species
UGGGGAAUUUUGCGCAAUGGGCGAAAGCCUGACGCAGCAACGCCGCGUGAGUGAUGAAGGCUUUCGGGUCGUAAAGCUCUGUCAAGGGGAAAGAAGUGUAUUGUGGCUAAUAUCCACGAUACUUGACGGUACCCCUGAAGGAAGCACCGGCUAACUCCGUGCCAGCAGCCGCGGUAAUACGGGGGGUGCAAGCGUUGUUCGGAAUUAUUGGGCGUAAAGCGCGUGUAGGCGGUUUGUUAAGUCUGAUGUGAAAGCCCUGGGCUCAACCCAGGAAGUGCAUUGGAUACUGGCAGACUUGAAUACGGGAGAGGGUAGUGGAAUUCCUGGUGUAGGAGUGAAAUCCGUAGAUAUCAGGAGGAACACCGGUGGCGAAGGCGGCUACCUGGACCGAUAUUGACGCUGAGACGCGAAAGCGUGGGUAGCAAACA